rnacentral:rRNA from 1 species
CCCUUAGAUGUCCUGGGCCGCACGCGCGCUACACUGAUGCAUUCAACGAGUUUUACCUUGGCCGAGAGGCCUGGGCAAUCUUUUAAACCUGCAUCGUGAUAGGGAUAGAUUAUUGCAAUUAUUAAUCUUGAACGAGGAAUUCCUAGUAAACGCAGAUCAUCAAUCUGCAUUGAUUACGUCCCUGCCCUUUGUACACACCGCCCGUCGCACCUACCGAUUGAAUGGUCCGGUGAAGCCUCGGGAUUGUGACCAGUUCACUUUAUUGGGAGUUGGCUGCGAGAACUUGUCUAAACCUUAUCAUUUAGAGGAAGGUGAAGUCGUAACA